UACGGAGGGUGCAAGCGUUGUUCGGAAUUAUUGGGCGUAAAGCGCGUGUAGGCUGUCCGUUAAGUCAGGUGUGAAAGCCCUUAGCUCAACUAAGGAACGUCAUCUGAUACUGCCGGACUUGAGUACGGGAGAGGAGAGUGGAAUUCCCGGUGUAGAGGUGAAAUUCGUAGAUAUCGGGAGGAACACCCGUGGCGAAGGCGACUCUCUGGACCGAUACUGACGCUGAGACGCGAAAGCGUGGGGAGCAAACAGG
rnacentral:rRNA from 1 species